CACACUGGGAGCUGAGACACGGCCCAGACUCCUACGGGAGGCAGCAGUGGGGAAUAUUGCACAAUGGGCGAAAGCCUGAUGCAGCGACGCCGCGUGAGGGAUGACGGCCUUCGGGUUGUAAACCUCUUUCAGCAGGGAAGAAGCGAAAGUGACGGUACCUGCAGAAGAAGCGCCGGCUAACUACGUGCCAGCAGCCGCGGUAAUACGUAGGGCGCAAGCGUUGUCCGGAAUUAUUGGGCGUAAAGAGCUCGUAGGCGGCUUGUCGCGUCGGAUGUGAAAGCCCGGGGCUUAACCCCGGGUCUGCAUUCGAUACGGGCAGGCUAGAGUUCGGUAGGGGAGAUCGGAAUUCCUGGUGUAGCGGUGAAAUGCGCAGAUAUCAGGAGGAACACCGGUGGCGAAGGCGGAUCUCUGGGCCGAUACUGACGCUGAGGAGCGAAAGCGUGGGGAGCGAACAGGAUUAGAUACCCUGGUAGUCCACGCCGUAAACGUUGGGAACUAGGUGUGGGCGACAUUCCACGUCGUCCGUGCCGCAGCUAACGCAUUAAGUUCCCCGCCUGGGGGAGU
rnacentral:rRNA from 1 species